rnacentral:rRNA from 1 species
CCUACGGGUGGCAGCAGUGAGGAAUAUUGGUCAAUGGACGAGAGUCUGAACCAGCCAAGUAGCGUGAAGGAUGACUGCCCUAUGGGUUGUAAACUUCUUUUAUAUGGGAAUAAAACGUUCCACGAGUGGGAUUUUGUAUGUACCAUAUGAAUAAGGAUCGGCUAACUCCGUGCCAGCAGCCGCGGUAAUACGGAGGAUCCGAGCGUUAUCCGGAUUUAUUGGGUUUAAAGGGGGCGUAGGUGGAUUGUUAAGUCAGUUGUGAAAGUUUGCGGCUCAACCGUAAAAUUGCAGUUGAAACUGGCAGUCUUGAGGACAGUAGAGGUGGGCGGAAUUCGUGGUGUAGCGGUGAAAUGCUUAGAUAUCGCGAAGAACUCCGAUUGCGAAGGCAGCUCACUGGACUGCAACUGACGCUGAGGCUCGAAAGUGUGGGUAUCGAACAGGAUUAGAUACCCCAGUAGUC